AUGCCAUUUCAUUUAAACACUACGAUCAAGGAACAGAGAUACAGAUCCUUCAGUAAGGUGCAACACUUAAUAAACAGCCUUUGCUUUCAACAAGAAGUCCAGCUUGGCAACAACCCAGGUCAAUGAAGAGAGUCAAUGAAUUCACAAAGCUAUUUUACAAUUCUUUAAAAAUUACUUUCCUGGAAAGACCUGCAGACAUCCAACACAGCUUCAGUCUAGGAAGAAAGUCAAGGCUUUCCCAUUGUUGUGACGGUGGAACAGAAACUCCUCACUAUUUCUUGAUUUCAAGAAACAGGUUCUCUGUAUACUGGUCCAAGUCUUAGGCACAAGCAACCGGGCUGUGUAUUCUGCACAGAAGAAGAAGAAAUGCAUGAGCCAAGUUCUGGACCAGGGAAGUUGAAUCUGCCGUCCACUGUGCUAUUUGCAAACUUGGAAUAAUUGACUUACUUGUUUCUGCAAAAGACAAAGAGCUACACAGGACACUGACAGCCCGCCCCUGAAGUGCUCUUCAGAUUCACACCUGCCUCUGGAGUUUUCACCAGGUCUUCAAGCACGUUUAACCCUUUGUGGCUCAAAGGGCAAGAAAAUUGCUAGUGCUUGCCCAAUAUUAAUUUCUCUGCUUGCCCAUUAGCCCUAUUCAGACAUUAUGCUAUGCCUGUCUUCAGGUAUCUGUACCCAUGUAUUAGUAUGGGUUUUUGUAGGAGUGGCUGCACCUCUGUUCAUUUUAAAAGUGAACAGACUGGAAGUGUAUACUAGAGUUCAACAGAACAUGUGGAUAACUGUACCUGCACACUGAUCGGUACCUGUGUACACUGUACAUCGAUUGUAUAAGUGCUGAACAUGACCUGUGAAAUUAUUGCAGCUGGGGAUGAUGGGACUUGUAGUCCAGCAACAGCUGGAGAGUAGGGGCACAGUCACCAUUGCAGAAAGAGGACAAAAGUUCCUAGGCCACUGGGGAUGCCACCCCCCAUGCCCCCAGCUGAAUGAAGCACUUGCUGGUUUGGAACAUGAUGCGUGGACCCUCACCCAUUUCUUUCUUUCGCUCCCUCACUGCAAGGAAGGGAAAGAAAGCACGCAGCCUGCAAAUGAAAUGAUGGCCGGGAAGAAGAGAGGAGUUGUGCACGCCCCCUUUCUGGGGCUGGCCAUGCCCCCUGCAUCAGUGUGUAUGGGGCGCUGAUGCAUCAGGCACAGCUAGCAUGGGCAAGCAGUGGUGUGUUCAUGGGUUGCUGCCAAGACCACUACACUUCUGCUGGAAAGCCUCGGGUUGCUCCCUGCCCCAUCCGAGAUGCAUACUGAUCCCUGAGGCAGACCUACAAAUAAUGGCUGGCCCAACAUCACGCAGUGAGAGGUCUGAAUCGGAAUCGCAGUGGAGAUCUGAAUCGCAGAAUCUGCGAAUCUGAAUCGGCGAAUCUGAAUCGCAGUGCAGAUCUGAAUCGGAGUCUCCUUAGACCAACACGCUAAGCCAGGGCUACACAACUUUUGACACUGCCGGUGUUUUUAGAUUUCAACUCCCAUCAUCGAUAGCUACAAUGACUAACAGUCAAGAAUGAUGGGAGCUGUAGUCCAACAUCUGCAGGAAGGCUGAAAAGGGGCAGCCCUAGUCUAAUCACUAUGCUACAGACGCCUGAAGAAGCAAAGACAGUCAGGGUCUGGAAACCAAGUGCCUCAAGGAAUGGCUAAAGCAGCGAAGUAUGUUUAGCCUGGAGAAGAGAAGACUACGGGGAAACAUCGGAAGCUGCCUUAGAGCUGUCAGAGAACCUUGGUCCAUCUAGCUCAGUAUUGUCUACCCAGACUGGCAGCAGCUACUCCAAGGUUUGCAGGCAGGAGUCUCUCUCAGCCCUAUCUUGGAGAUGCUGCCAGGGAGGUAACCUGGGACCUUCCCCAUACAAAGCAGAUACUCUAGGGAAUGUACUAAAAUGAAUGGCAUGGGAAUGCCAACUGAAAAGCCCUGGUUCCUUCCAAACGGCCAUGAAAUGCAUUGAAUUUCCAAAUGAAGGAAAUAAAGACUUUCCAAAUGGCCAAUGGCGUUCCUAUGGCCCUUGGCAAGAAGGAAGCUACCUUAUACAGAGUCAGACCACUGGUCCAGCUAGUUCAGUGUUCUAUACACCCAGGCCUGGAAUGAAGACCUCAACAGCAGGGCCUCUGCCACUCACUGGCUCCAGUGGAAGGGUGCAACCUGGGGUGAUGGGCUCUUAGUGAGGUGAGGGAGGUGGGAACUGGCUCGUCCACUUCCUCCCCAUGCCUGCCACCUCACUUCUCAGAGGCAGUGUGGAGGAAGGAGGCAAGGAGCAAAAGGCUAGCAGCCUCCCUUCUCUCUCUGCUCACCCGCACAAAGGGCCUCUGUGCCCUCUUCUCUCUGGAUAGGGACAGCAGG